rnacentral:lncRNA from 1 species
CGCGCUCCGGGGACGUCUCCGUGCUUUACGGGGACGUCUCCAGACGUGCCAGUUCUUCCUGUUUGUGCCAGAGACGUCUCGGAGACAACCCGGAGACGUCUCGACUGUCCCUGUAACUUUUUCUUUCAUCUCAAAAAUUCUUCAAUAAGUUCUUAAAAAUCAUGGGAACUUGCCUAGACAUUUCUUAACAAUAUUCUUAAUUAACCAACUGAAAUCCUCAAAUAAGUUGUUAAGAUAAAGGGAAUUAUGCUCUAGUGUUUUGUAUUCAUCAAAAUCCAUUAGAGGGUCAACAAU